rnacentral:tmRNA from 1 species
GGGGCUGAUAUAGCUUUAGACGGAGAGACCUUAACAAUCUGCUUUGCGUGUUGAAUUACGAACGUAAAUCGUUAACUAAUUGCAAAAACAAUUACUCAGCGAGCUGCUGAAUCACUACGAAAUGUUGCUUCUGCAAUGUUCCCAGCUGGUUCACAGUUUGCGCUAGCUGCUUAGUCUACUAUCAGCCAUCGGUAUCUUGACGUCAGAUAGAGUCAUACUGGUGUUAUAUCAUCUGGCUUGGUCUCGUGCGGCAUAUCGGCGUACGUUACGACAUUUUCCGAUUUCAAGCCUUGUUCCUUUUUGUUUGUUCUCUCGAGGACAAUGGUUUGUAAAAUUUUAGAAUAAACUACACACGUAGAAGAGCAGAUGUUACUUUUCGGACCCGGGGGCAGUACCCGGCAGCUCCACCA